rnacentral:lncRNA from 1 species
ACCGCCGCCACCAAAAUAUUACAAGUCCCCAGUUUACUACAAAUCUCCACCACCACCAACUUAUUAUGAGAAAUCACCUUCGUAUUACAAGUCACCUCCUCCAACAUACUAUGAGCAAUCACCUAAGUCACCUCUACCCCCACCAAAAUACUACGAGCAAUCACAAUCUUCUUACAAAUCUCCUCCACCUCCACCAAAAUACUAUGAGCAACCAUCGUCAUACAACUCUCCACCACCACCACCAAAAUACUAUGAGCAAUCACUAAUCAAUUAUAAGUCUCCACCUCCACCGUACUACAAAGAAUCUACACCUUCCUACAAAUCUCCUCCACCUCCACCAAAAUACUACGAGCAAUCACCUAUAACUUACAACUUACCAUCUCUUCCAAAGACUUAUGAAAAAUCGCCAUCAUACUUCUCACCUCCACCACCAACGAACUACUAUAAGCAAACUCCCGUCUAUGCCUCACCUCCACCACCUGCAAAAUACGAGCAUGCCACCUAUGUUUCACCUCCCCCAGCAACCUACUACUAAUAUUAAUCAAACCAUUCACUUCAAUCAAUUUUCACCAUUUCUUUGAUUUUUAGAUCCUUUUCAUCCUCCUAUUUGGAGGAUUUCUAUUUUCUCUCCCAAAAUCUUAUGCGUGCUUCCCCAAAGGGUCGGCUUCUGUUGCUGUGUGCUCAUUUUAAUAUAUAAUUUGCAUUAUUUGAUAUUCAAGAUCCUCGAGAUCUCAAACAGUACUUUGGCUCAUUGUAUCAAUUAAGCUCCUUUCGGUGUAAUCUCUUGAGAAUU